ACUCCUACGGGAGGCAGCAGUGGGGAAUUUUGGACAAUGGGCGAAAGCCUGAUCCAGCCUUGCCGCGUGAGUGAAGAAGGCCUUCGGGUUGUAAAGCUCUUUUAGUCGGAAUGAAUGAAUUACAAUAAUUAUUUGAGAUUUAUGACGGUACCGACAGAAGAAGCACCGGCUAACUACGUGCCAGCAGCCGCGGUAAU
rnacentral:rRNA from 1 species